rnacentral:rRNA from 1 species
UACGGAGGGUGCGAGCGUUGUCCGGAAUCACUGGGCGUAAAGGGCGCGUAGGCGGUGCGGUAAGUCUGUAGUGAAAUCUCUGGGCUCAACUCAGAGUCUGCUAUAGAAACUGCCGUGCUCGAGUGUGGGAGAGGUGAGUGGAAUUCCCGGUGUAGCGGUGAAAUGCGUAGAUAUGGGGAGGAACACCGGUGGCGAAGGCGGCCACCUGGACGGUCACUGACGCUGAGACGCGAAAGCGUGGGGGAGCAAACAGG